CUGUUUACACCCUAGGCAAGAAGAGCCUGGGCUGUCUGCAGUCGACUCGGGAUAGCUCUGUGAUCUGCAAUUGGAAAAGGAGGGAAUUCCUUUCUUCCUUCUGCAAGGGCGUUUGGCAAGAGGUGUCCACCCUCUAAUAAGAAGCCCAGCAGCUAACUGAAGAACUGGAAGCUUUAAAGGAAAAUAAAGCGAACAAAGCUAUGGAGCAGCUCAAAUGCUCACACUGCAUUUCAAAGGUCUCCUUCCAUGGAUAUUGCCACGUUCCUGGAAAGAUUCGGAAGAUGGUUGGUGCUGAUGGCUGUCCAGCAGGAGCUUCUCAACAUGCUUUCAGGGAACAAUAAGAAAACUUCUCUUUAUACAUAUCUCUUUCUGAGACAUGCUCCAUGACUGGUCGCAACCUGUAAUAAAAAUGCCAUAUCCAAGAGAAUAUAUUUAAUAUCGGGAAGGCAAAAUAGAAUGAUAUGAUCUGUUUGGGGUUUGAAGGAGCUGUGCUGCUAAUGGUUCUCUAGGUGCCAGACCUCCACCGGGUUAGGCAGCACAGCUGCCUUGUGUUGGAUUGAAUGUCACCACCUUCUAAGGAUCUAGGUCCUUUUAUUAAGAUAAUUAGCUGCCCUAUGUCACAGAUUUCUGUAUAAGCACACCAAGAGCUACUCGUUCUACUCUUUUAUUGACAAUUCUUUUAUAGACAAAUGAUUUUCCUGUGCAAAUCUUCAUCUUUACCUUUAGUUAGAAAUGACUAAGAUAAUACUCAUUUUGUUCAGCUUGCUAACCACACUAUAAAAUUGACAUGAUCCUUACAUAGGGUUAUCUGUUUUGUCCAUUAAAAGUAUAGUUCCCCA